rnacentral:rRNA from 1 species
UACGAGUGCCCCAAGCGUUAUCCGGAAUUAUUGGGCGUAAAGGGUGUGUAGGUGGUUUUGUUAGUCUUCUGUUAAAUUCUUCGGCUUAACCGGGGGUCUGCAAAAGAAACGGCAAAACUAGAGGAUGCGAGAGGUGUGCGGAACUCAUGGUGUAGGGGUAAAAUCCGUUGAUAUCAUGGGGAACACCAAAAGCGAAGGCAGCACACUGGCGCACUCCUGACACUGAAACACGAAAGCGUGGGUAGCGAAUGGG